rnacentral:pre_miRNA from 1 species
UCACCUCUUCAGGCUGCGGCCCCCAGGCUGGGCUGGGCGAGUAUCUCUUGGAAAGGCUCACCCCCAAGCACAAGUAGGAGC